UUGACCUCAAAUCAGGUAGGACUACCCGCUGAACUUAAGCAUAUCAAUAAGCGGAGGAAAAGAAACUAACAAGGAUUCCCCUAGUAACUGCGAGUGAAGCGGGAAAAGCUCAAAUUUGAAAUCUGGCAGUUCUUUUGACUGUCCGAGUUGUAAUCUAGAGAAGUGUUACCUGUGCUGGACCAUGUACAAGUCUUCUGGAAUGGGGCAUCAUAGAGGGUGAGAAUCCCGUCUUUGACAUGGACUACCAGUGCACUGUGGUGCGCUCUCAAAGAGUCGAGUUGUUUGGGAAUGCAGCUCAAAU
rnacentral:rRNA from 1 species